CUGGAAAAAAUGGAGCUAGAGAACUGCUUUCGAUUAAAUGGCCCAACAAACGAAUUGAGCUUGUCCAUCGAAGAGCGAGCUGCGCUGGGCAUCUUUUUUCUACGGCCCAAUAAAUUUUUGUCGGUAUGCUGGAUAUGAGUAUGUCGUUUGCAACUUGCUUCUUGACCAG
rnacentral:sRNA from 1 species